GACGAACGCUGGCGGCGUGCCUAACACAUGCAAGUCGAGCGGGGUUGAGGCGAGAGGUAACUCGAGCUUCUACCUAGCGGCGGACGGGUGAGUAACGCGUGGGCAACCUGCCUCAAGGUUUGGGAUAACAGCCCGAAAGGGCUGCUAAUACCGGAUAUGCCUAUGGCCUCGCAUGGGGCUAUGAGCAAAGGGGAAACCCGCCUUGAGAUGGGCCCGCGUCCCAUCAGCUAGUUGGUGAGGUAACAGCUCACCAAGGCGACGACGGGUAGCCGGCCUGAGAGGGUGACCGGCCACACUGGGACUGAGACACGGCCCAGACUCCUACGGGGGGCAGCAGUGGGGGAUCUUGCACAAUGGGCGAAAGCCUGAUGCAGCGACGCCGCGUGAGCGAAGAAGGCCUUCGGUUGUAAGCUCUGUCUGGAGGGACGGAACAAAAUAGACGGUACCGUCCCGGACGGAAGCCACGGCUAACUACGUGCCAGCAGCCGCGGUAAACGUAGCGUG
rnacentral:rRNA from 1 species